CCUUUAAUGACCGUAAUGAUUACACCCUAAAAUCUCCCAAAACCCCUAAAACCAGCCAAUUAGAAAGAGAAACCACAGAUCUCACUCUCCUCUAAUCUCUCUACGACGCCGCCCGGUGCCCUAGCCCUCACUCUCGUGUCUCGCCGCCUUCCACCACUGACCACCGGUGCUCCUCACUCUCGCCUCCAAGGACCCAAAUCAAUAUAUUUCUAAUCAAGAAUGAUACGUGACAAAACAUGGUUCGAUCACCUAGCGGAUCACACUGGCAAUUAUUUCUGCUUUGGAAUUGUUUGUGGGUGAGCUUUUCACAUGUUAAAAGGCAUGUACAACUCCCCUAAAGGUGAGUGCCUCAUCCGGGGCUCACAAGCUGUACGCUUGUACGCACCCCGUUGGGCUAGCUACUCUGCCGCUUGGGGUGGUCUUUCUUCUGUCUUCAGGAGCUCUAUGAUAAAUGUAAGGCAGAAGGAUGAUGCAUGGACUUCCAUCCUCCUUGAAGUCGCUACCAUCGGAUUCCUCAAUAUGCGCCAAGGCCUUGGCCCCACUUCACGCUCGGCUCUCAUUGUUGGCUCGGCAAUGGCGCUAUUUGAGGGUUAUUUGAAUAUUGUGGAAAAUAAGGUUGCGAGUAAUGUCCAGUCCCCACAAUCCGACUUUGAGGAGUUGGAUAAGAUGCAGAAGAGUGGAGGAAUAAAGUUAGUUUGACUCGCUUUUUCUAUAUUUAUUUACAUUGGUGCCAUACUCCAUCCAUUUAAAUCGAAUAUUGUUGGAAGUGGACCCUUGUGAUUAUGCAUAGAAUUGAAAACUUAUAAUCUUCUUGUUGAAUUACAUUUUCAAAUCCUGAAUUUAAAGGGGUUUCUUGGUUCA